rnacentral:sRNA from 1 species
GAGAUGGUUUAGAUACCUGUUGUUUAU